rnacentral:rRNA from 1 species
UUGCAAAGGUAGCAUAAUAAUUAGUUUAUUGAUUGUAAGAUUGUAUGAAUGAUUGAAUGAAAAUAACAUUGUCUCUUUUUUAAUGAUAAUGGAAUUUUAUUUUUUGAUAAAAAAGUUAAAAUUUUUUAAAUGGACGAGAAGACCCUAUAAAUCUUG